rnacentral:rRNA from 1 species
UUAAAUUACAAUCACCAUCCGCCAGGGUACUACGAGCAUCAGCUUAAAACCCAAAGGACUUGGCGGUGCUUCAGACCCACCUAGAGGAGCCUGUUCUAGAACCGAUAAUCCCCGUUUAACCUCACCACCCCUAGCCUUCCCCGCCUAUAUACCGCCGUCGUCAGCUUACCCCGUGAGGGUCAAAUAGUGAGCACAAAGAGCCAACCUCAAAACGUCAGGUCGAGGUGUAGCGAAUGAGGUGGAAAGAAAUGGGCUACAUUUUCUAUAAUAGAAUACUACGGACAGCAAACUGAAAAAAGUGCUUUAAGGUGGAUUUAGCAGUAAAAAGAAAAUAGAGAGUCCUUUUGAAUUAGGCUCUGAAGCGCGCACACACCGCCCGUCACCCUCCCCUUCAACACAACAUUAAGUAAUUAACACUAAAAACAAAAAUAAGGGGAGGCAAGUCGUAACAUGGUAAGUGUACCGGAAGGUGCACUUGGAAAAAU